CAUCGUGAUUAGUUGUGGGAAUAUAUCAUGUGGAAUGGGUGUGAAAAUACAUCACGUGGAUUGAUUAUGGAAAUACUUAUUUUGAAUGGUUGUGAACAUUGCAUCGCCAUUCUCAUGUCCUUAUACAUAUCAUUUCACUUAUUCGUUUUACUGCUUUAUAUAUACUUGUUGUCAGGUAUGUGUACUUGAAUUAUGUCUUAUGUUAUGUAUGUGGUUUGAAAU
rnacentral:lncRNA from 1 species